GACGAACGCUGGCGGCGUGCUUAACACAUGCAAGUCGAACGGAAACGCCCUGCUUUUUUGGGGUGCUCGAGUGGCGAACGGGUGAGUAACACGUGAGUAACCUGCCCUUGACUUUGGGAUAACUUCAGGAAACUGGGGCUAAUACCGGAUAGGAGCUCCUGCUGCAUGGUGGGGGUUGGAAAGUUUCGGCGGUUGGGGAUGGACUCGCGGCUUAUCAGCUUGUUGGUGGGGUAGUGGCUUACCCAGCCUUUGACGGGUAGCCGGCCUGAGAGGGUGACCGGCCACAUUGGGACUGAGAUACGGCCCAGAGUCCUACGGGAGGCAGCAGUGGGGAAUAUUGCACAAUGGGCGGAAGCCUGAUGCAGCGACGCCGCGUGCGGGAUGACGGCCUUCGGGUUGUAAACCGCUUUCGCCUGUGACGAAGCGUGAGUGACGGUAAUGGGUAAAGAAGCACCGGCUAACUACGUG
rnacentral:rRNA from 1 species